AGACAGCUUUGGACUGGUCGGCGAAUAUGCAAGGGAGGGGCUGUAUCUCGCCGAGGGAUUGUAACUUGGUGAUGUAGGACUAUAUGAUGGUGAUGUUGGGCUGUAACUGGGAGAUGUUGGGCUGUAACCAGGGGAGGUAGGACUGUAUGCAGGAGAAGUGGGACUAUAUGAUGGAGAAGUUGGACUAUAACUUGGUGAGGUGGGGCUAUAUGAAGGCGAGGUGGGGCUGUAAGAAGGUGAGGUGGGGCUGUAUGAAGGUGAAGUGGGGCUGUAAGAUGGAGAAGUGGGGCUGUAAGAUGGAGAAGUGGGGCUGUAGGCAGGCGAAGUGGGGCUGUAGGCAGGCGAAGUGGGA
rnacentral:lncRNA from 1 species